rnacentral:lncRNA from 1 species
AAGAGGGGAUGAGAACUGGGUGGUCACUAGACCAGCCUCUAAAUUAGGCAACCUAGGUUCGAAUUCUCAUGAUGCUGUCUCGCUAAGAUCUAGCAUCUAGCGUCGUGCAACGCAGGGUUUUCCUAGUGGAAAUGAUAAGCAACCCGAUGUAAUAGUUCGAGAUAGCACUAUAGCAGCGAUAACGAAAUAUGGAAAAGAGACCUUUUGACGAUUGCUGUUUGCACCCUAUAUUGAUCAUCCUAAUAUGGCUUUUUCCUAUUAAGCACAUGCACACGCCUACAUACAAAGAUUAUAUGAAAUGUUCUUUGAAAAUGAUGAAUGCUUUCGAGAUCCAUAUCACCACCUCAUCUCUUCUGAAUACAUGGUAACAUCUUUUGCAUGGGUAUCAAAUCGCUUUCAAGGGUUUUAAUUUCUCCUCCCAGCAGAAUAGCAGAUGCUGCGAUUUGAAGAGCCAUGCCUUUGCCACCAUACGAAAUGUUCAUAAGAAAUGACACUAUUUAAGACGUU